CGCUGAGGAGCGAAAGCGUGGGGAGCGAACAGGAUUAGAUACCCUGGUAGUCCACGCCGUAAACGUUGGGCGCUAGAUGUAGGGACCUUUCCACGGUUUCUGUGUCGUAGCUAACGCAUUAAGCGCCCCGCCUGGGGAGUACGGCCGCAAGGCUAAAACUCAAAGGAAUUGACGGGGGCCCGCACAAGCGGCGGAGCAUGCGGAUUAAUUCGAUGCAACGCGAAGAACCUUACCAAGGCUUGACAUACACCGGAAACGGCCAGAGAUGGUCGCCCCCUUGUGGUCGGUGUACAGGUGGUGCAUGGUUGUCGUCAGCUCGUGUCGUGAGAUGUUGGGUUAAGUCCCGCAACGAGCGCAACCCUCGUUCUAUGUUGCCAGCGCGUUAUGGCGGGGACUCAUAGGAGACUGCCGGGGUCAACUCGGAGGAAGGUGGGGAUGACGUCAAAUCAUCAUGCCCCUUAUGUCUUGGGCUUCACGCAUGCUACAAUGGCCGGUACAAAGGGCUGCGAUACCGUAAGGUGGAGCGAAUCCCAAAAAGCCGGUCUCAGUUCGGAUUGAGGUCUGCAACUCGACCUCAUGAAGUCGGAGUCGCUAGUAAUCGCAGAUCAGCAACGCUGCGGUGAAUACGUUCCCGGGCCUUGUACACACCGCCCGUCAAGUCAUGAAAGUCGGUAACACCCGAAGCCGGUGGCCUAACCCUUGUGGAAGGAGCCGUCGAAGGUGGGAUCGGUGAUUAGGACUAAGU
rnacentral:rRNA from 1 species